rnacentral:lncRNA from 1 species
CUGGACACACUUAAUGGGAUCUAAAAGCAAUGAUUUUUCUCUGCAUAAGUCUUUUAUCUGUUUUUUUAAAACUCAGUUUAACACUGUGGUUCAAACUGUUAGAAGUGACAAUGCCAUAGAAUUGGGAUCCAGCAUUGAGGGCAUAUCUUUCUUUAGUAGCCAGGGGAUUAUUCAUCAAACCUCCUACCCUCAUUCACCCAAACAGAAUGGUGUUGUUGAAAGAAAGCACAUAACCCUUCUUGAAACAUGUAGAGCCUUGCUUUUCCAAUCUGGCCUACCUGUGUCUUUCUGGGGGGGAUUGUCUGUUGACUGCCACUUAUCUUCUUAACAAAAUUCCUUUCAGAAUUCUUCACAAUAAGUCUCCUCAUGAAAUUUUGUAUGGGAAAGUUCCAUCCUAUUCUCAUUUGAGGGCAUUUGGGUGCCUUGCUUAUGCUGCUGUCCCUAUUCCUCAAAGGGACAAGUUAAAGCCUAGAGCCUUCUCUUGUGUUUUUCUGGGUUACUCCUUUUCCAAAAAAGGUUAUAAACUGUAUGAUUUGGUUUCCAAGAAGUGUUUUGUCUACAGGGAUGUUGUAUUCCAUGAAACUUGUUUUCCUUCUAAGACUAAACCUUCUUCUGCUCACCCUUCUCCUUCAUCUUUUCCUUCUAUUCCUCCUGCUGAACAUUCCUCUGACAUUGAUUUUCCUAUACAUGAUUCCUCCCCUCCUUCCCCUUCAUCUGAUUCUCCUGUUCCUGACUUUACUGAUGCUGCUUCAUCUUCCCUUCCUUCUUUCAAUCCUGACAUUUCUCCUCCUAUUUUACCUCCUUCACACCCUAUUCCUGCACCUAGAAAGUCCACUAGACAGCAUAAUCCUCCUUCCUAUCUUAAGGAUUAUAUCUGCCAACUCCCUGCCUUUUCUGGUUCCUCUUCUUCUACUUUGGAAUCUGAGCCUUUGUAUUACUCUCAAGCUGCAUCUGUCCCAGCGUGGCAGGAAGCCAUGAGACAGGAGUUUGAUGCUUUGGAAGCUAACCAUACUUGGGAUGUUGUUCCCCAUCCUCCUGGUAAGAAACCCAUUGGCUGUAAAUGGGUCUAUAAAAUCAAAUACAAGGCUGAUGGUAUUGUUGAUCUGGUAAGAAACCUAUUGGCUGUAAAUGGGUCUAUAAAUCAAAUACAAGGCUGAUGGUAUUGUUGAAAGGUAUAAGGCCAGGCUUUUUAUUAGGGGUGACACUCAAGUUGAAGGGGAUGAUUUUACUGACACCUUUUCUCCUGUGAUUAAGAUGACCACUGUGAAAUGCUUUAUUGCUGUGGCUGUCAAGAAUCACUGGCCUCUGUUUCAACUAGAUGUCAAUAAUGCUUUUCUUUAUGGGGAUUUGGAUGAGGAAGUUUAUAUGAAACUUCCCCAGGUUUGACAGUUUCUGCUCCUCUUUCUGGUUCUGUUUCUCCUUCAUCUCCUACUUCUUCUCCUCUGGUUUGUAAACUCAAGAAAUCCCUUGAAACUUCCCCCAGGUUUGACUGUUUCUGCUCCUAUUUCUGGUUCUGUUUAUCCUUCAUCUUCUACUUCUUCUCCACUGGUUUGUAAGCUCAAGAAAUCUCUAUAUGGGCUGAGACAAGCAUCCAGACAAUGGUAUGCCUUGGAUGAGGAAGUUUAUAUGAAACUUCCCCCAGGUUUGACAGUUUCUGCUCCUCUUUCUGGUUCUGUUUUCCUUCAUCUUCUACUUCUUCUCAUCUAGUUUGUAAGCUCAAGAAAUCUCUAUAUGGGCUGAGACAAGCAUCCACAUAAUGGUAUGCCAAAUUGUCUUCUGCUCUUUAUUCCAGAGGGUGCAAACAUUCUUUGAAUGACUAUUCCUUGUUCAUCAAAGGUAAACCUGGGUCCCUUGUGGUUGUGGCAGUCUAUGUGGAUGAUAUCAUCCUUACUGGGGAUGACAGUGAUGAGAUUAGUGCCCUGAAACUGUUUCUGGAUGAUCAUUUUAAAAUCAAAGACCUAGGAUCUUUGCAUUAUUUUCUGGGCCUUGAAAUGUCAGUUGUUCCUGGUGGUAUGAUCCUUAAUCAGCAUAAGUACAUUUCUGAUUUACUGCAUCAGUUUGAUUGUGCAAAUGUCUCCUCUGUUGUUUCUCCUUUGGACAUUAAUGUCAAACUUCAUGCUGAUUCUGGUGACCUUUUAUCCUCUCCUGACCAGUACAGGAGCCUGGUUGGUAAGAUGUUGUUUCUAACUCAUACUAGGCCUGACAUAUGCUUUGUUGUCCAACAUCUGAGUCAAUUCCUAAAAUGCCCCAGACUUCCACAUAUGACUGCUGCCCUGCAUGUUUUGAGAUACCUUAAAGGUACUCCUUCUAUGGGUCUAUUUUAUUCUGCCUGUGCUGCUUUAUCUGUUGUUGGUUAUUAUGAUAGUGACUGGGCUGUCUGCCCAGAUACUAGGAGAUCUGUCACUGGUUUUUGUGUGCUUUUAGGUGGUUGCCUGAUUAGUUGGAAAUCUAAUAAGCAGCCUGUUGUUUCUCUGUCUUCUGCUGAGGCAGAAUAUAGGGCCCUCAGCAAAGCUGUUGCUGAAUUAUCUUGGCUUUCUCGUUUAUUGGUUGAUCUUGGGGUAUCUGUUUCUCUUCC